rnacentral:rRNA from 1 species
GACGAACGCUGGCGGCGUGCCUAAUACAUGCAAGUAGAACGCUGAAGAGAGGAGCUUGCUCUUCUUGGAUGAGUUGCGAACGGGUGAGUAACGCGUAGGUAACCUGCCUUGUAGCGGGGGAUAACUAUUGGAAACGAUAGCUAAUACCGCAUAACAAUGGAUGACACAUGUCAUUUAUUUGAAAGGGGCAAUUGCUCCACUACAAGAUGGACCUGCGUUGUAUUAGCUAGUAGGUGAGGUAAUGGCUCACCUAGGCGACGAUACAUAGCCGACCUGAGAGGGUGAUCGGCCACACUGGGACUGAGACACGGCCCAGACUCCUACGGGAGGCAGCAGUAGGGAAUCUUCGGCAAUGGGAGCAACCCUGACCGAGCAACGCCGCGUGAGUGAAGAAGGUUUUCGGAUCGUAAAGCUCUGUUGUAAGUCAAGAACGGGUGUGAGAGUGGAAAGUUCACACUGUGACGGUAGCUUACCAGAAAGAGACGGCUAACUACGUG